GACGAACGCUGGCGGCGUGCUUAACACAUGCAAGUCGAACGAAGUGGCGAACGGGUGAGUAACGCGUUAUCAACCUGCCCUUCAGAGGGGCACAACAGUUGGAAACGACUGCUCAUACCGCAUACUGAAGGAGGGGAUUGCGUCGGAUUAGCUAGUUGGAGGGGUAACGGCCCACCAAGGCGAUGAUCAGUAGCCGGUCUGAGAGGAUGAACGGCCACAUUGGGACUGAGACACGGCCCAGACUCCUACGGGAGGCAGCAGUGGGGAAUCUUCCGCAAUGGACGAAAGUCUGAUCCAGCCAUGCCGCGUGUGUGAAGAAGGUCUUCGGAUUGUAAAGCACUUUUAGUUGGGAGGCGUUACCAACAGAAUAAGCAACGGCUAACUUCGUGCCAGCCGCCGCGGUAAUAC
rnacentral:rRNA from 1 species